rnacentral:tRNA from 1 species
CCGAGCAUAGCUCAGUUGGAAGAGCGUGGGUUUGUAAUGGAUGCCCUGGCUAAUCACCCAAUGUCCCUGGUUCGAUCCCGGGUGCUCGGA